GAAUAUUGGACAAUGGUGGGAACCCUGACCCAGCCAUGCCGCGUGUGUGAAGAAGGCCUUUUGGUUGUAAAGCACUUGAAGCGAGGAGGAGGCUACUCCAGUUAAUACACAUAGAGAGUGGCCAUUAUUCUCAGACUAAGCGCCGGCUACCUCUGUGCCAGCAGCCGCGGUAAUACAGAGGGGGGAAGCGUUAAGCGGAGUUACUGGCCGUAAAGCGGGCGUAGGUGGCGAAUUAAGUCAAAUUUGAAAUCCCCUAGCUUAACUUGGGAAUUGCAUUCGAUACUGGUUGGCUAGAGUAUGGGAGAGGAUGGUAGAAUGCCAGGUGUAGGGGUGAAAUGCGUAGAGAUCUGGAGGAAUACCGAUGGCGAAGGCAGCCAUCUGGCCUAAUACUGACACUGAGGUGCGAAAGCAUGGGGAGCAAACA
rnacentral:rRNA from 1 species